rnacentral:lncRNA from 1 species
GGUGGUGGUGGUAGUAGUAAUAAUGAUGAUGAUGGCAGUGAUAGCAGUUUUGUGAUGGUGGUGGUAGUAGUAGUAAUGAUGAUGGUACUGAUAGCAGUUUAGUGAUGUGGUGGUAGUAGUAGAAUUGAUGAUGGAAGUGAUAGCAGUUUAGUGAUGGUGGUAGCAGUAGUAAUGAUGAUGCUAGAGAUAGCAGUUUAGUAAUGGUGGUGGUGGUGGUAGUAGUACUAAUGAUGAUGGUAUUGAUAGCAGUUUAGAGAAGGUGGUGGUAGUAGUAGUAAUGAUGUUGGUAUUCACAGCAGUUUAGUGAUGGUGGUAGUAGUAGUAAUGAUGAUGGUUGUGAUAGCAGUUUAGUGACGGUGGUGGUGGUAGUAGUAGUAAUGAUGAUGGUAGUGAUAGCAGUUUAGUGAUGGUGGUGGUAGUAGUAGUUGUAAUGAUGAUGGUAGUGACAGCAGUUUAGUGAUGGUGAUGGUAGAAGUAAUAAUGAAGAUGGAAGUGAAAGCAGUUUAGUGAUGGUGGUGGUAGUGAUAGCAGUUUAGUGAGGGUGGUGGUAGUAGUAGUAAUGAUGAUGUUUGUGAUAGCAGUUUAGUGAUGGUGUGGUGGUAGUAGUAGUAAUGGUGGUAGUGAUAGCAGUUUAGUAAUGGUGGUGGUGGUAGUAGUAGUAAUGAUGAUGGUAUUGAUAGCAGUUCAGUGAUGGCUGUAGUAGUAGUAAUGAUGAUGGUAGUGAUAGCAGUUAAGUGAUGGUGGUAGUAGUAGUAACGAUGAUGUUAGUGAUAGCAGUUUAGUGAUGGUGGUGGUAGUAGUAUUAGUAAUGAUGAUGGUAGUGAUAGCAGUUUAGUGAUAGUGGUGGUAGUAGUAGUAGUAAUGAUGAUGGUAGUGAUAGCAGUUUAGUGAUGGUAAUGGUGGAAAUAGUAGUAAUGAUGAUUGUAGUGACCCCAGUUUAGUGGUGGUGGUAGUGAUAGCGGUUAAGUGAUGGUGGUGGUAGUAAUAGUAAUGAUGAUGGUAGUGGUGGUAGUAGUAGAAUUGAUGAUGGUAGUGAUAGCAGUUUAGUGAUGGUGGUAGCAGUAGUAAUGAUGAUGGUAGAGAUAGCAGUUUAGUGAGGGUGGUGGUAGUAGUAGUAAUGAUGAUGUUUGUGAUAGCAGUUUAGUGAUGGUGGAUGUGGAAGUAGUAGUAAUGGCGAUGGUAGUGAUAGCAGUUUAGUGACGGUGGUGGUGGUAGUAGUAGUAAUGAUGAUGGUAGUGAUAGCAGUUUAGUGAUGGUGGUGGUAGUAGUAGUUGUAAUGAUGAUGGUAGUGACAGCAGUUUAGUGAUGGUGAUGGUAGAAGUAAUAAUGAAGAUGGAAGUGAAAGCAGUUUAGUGAUGGUGGUGGUAGUGAUAGCAGUUUAGUGAGGGUGGUGGUAGUAGUAAUAAUGAUGAUGGUAGUGACAGCAGUUUAGUGAUGGUGCUGUUGGUAGUAGU